rnacentral:rRNA from 1 species
AUUGAACGCUGGCGGCAUGCCUUACACAUGCAAGUCGAACGGCAGCACGGGUGCUUGCACCUGGUGGCGAGUGGCGAACGGGUGAGUAAUACAUCGGAACGUACCUUAUCGUGGGGGAUAACGCAGCGAAAGCUGUGCUAAUACCGCAUACGCCCUGAGGGGGAAAGCGGGGGAUCGCAAGACCUCGCGCGAUUAGAGCGGCCGAUGCCUGAUUAGCUUGCUGGUGGGGUAAAAGCCCACCAAGGCGACGAUCAGUAGCUGGUCUGAGAGGAAGAUCAGCCACACUGGGACUGAGACACGGCCCAGACUCCUACGGGAGGCAGCAGUGGGGAAUUUUGGACAAUGGGGGCAACCCUGAUCCAGCAAUGCCGCGUGAGUGAAGAAGGCCUUCGGGUUGUAAAGCUCUUUUGUCAGGGAAGAAACACCGGCUCUAACACAGUCCGGGAAUGACGGUACCUGAAGAAUAAACACCGGCUAACUACGUGCCAGCCGCCGCGGUAA